GUGUGAGGCCAAGCAAACAGAAGAUAAAGAACCUCUGAGGUGUGCUUGCCUGGAGGCAGGGUCAACAUAGGAAGUCAGGGCUGUUUCUAAGGUUGGGCAAACAGCAAUCUGCAUAGUCAGACAACCCAAUAAUCACAAAGCCAAGGGUCCAGGCAGAAAGCAGGAAGUAGCAAGGUAGGGCUGGGAAACACAGGCAUUGUUACCAACAUCUGACUGCUGCUGGAAGCUCUGCUUAAGAAGGCUGAAGCCAGCUGGUUCUCCUGAGUAACAGCUGCUGCAAAUAUCCUUGGGAGCCAGUGUGGUGUAGUGGUUAAGAGUGGUGGACUCGUAAUCUGGGGAACCGGGUUCGCUUCCCCUCUCCUCCACAUGCAGCUGCUGGGUGACCUUGGGCUAGUCACACUUCUUUGAAGUCUCUCAGCCCCACUCACCUCACAGAGUGUUUGUUGUGGGGGAGGAAGGGAAAGGAGAAUGUUAGCCGCUUUGAGACUCCUUCAGGUAGUGAUAAAGCAGGAUAUCAAAUCCAAACUCUUCUUCUUCUUCUUCUGACCAACAGGUUUUCCUAAGGGAUAAGCCAGGCUUCCUCAACCUCGGCCCUCCAGAUGUUUAUGGCCUACAACUCCCAUGAUCCCUAGCUAGCAGGACCAGUGGUCAGGUGUCAGGGAACUGCCAUCGGAAGCUGAACUGAGGGAGGUGAAAGGGCUCAGACAGGUUGGAAGAGACUCAGCAGCUGAAGAGGAAACCAGCAGGGGGAGAGAAGCUGAACUGAGGGAAAGGGAGCUGGGGGGAUGGCUCAGAGAUACUUCCAGCGAAAACAGUGGUGAGGUUUCCGGACCUCCUGUAGGGACACCCACUCCUCGCCGGAAACUGUCACGCAGAGAGUCCAGAAGACGUGUUUCCGUUAAGGAGCUUUUAUGUUGGAAGCGAUCACGAAAGCAACCACUGUCGGAAUCUUCUAGUGACUAGAGGAGCCAUGUCAGAGGGGCUCAGUCACAGACAGAGGUUUGUGGACUUGAACAAACACCCCGGGAAUACGAGUCUACGCACAAGCAGCUCAUCGUCCCAUCACAGCAUCCCGACAGUCUUGGAACGCAGCUUGUGCAGGAGAAGGCAUAAUGAGCAACCCAGCAGGAACCGGAGAAGCAGGGGCUGGAGCGGGUCCAAGCCUGGAAGAAAGGUACCGGGUGUUGGAGGUCCAGCUGGCGCUGCAGACGGCGAGGCUGGAGGAGAGGAGGGCUCAAGAUGCAGAAAAAAGGGAUAAAGCAACCCAGCUCGACAGAAAUGUACCAGGAUUGGUGCAGAAAUUUGGGGGUGGAGCCCAAAGACUAUCAUAGCUUUCGGACAGAAAUGCAAUAUGCCCUCAAUCUGCAGUUUGAUGAUUUCCUGAUGAGGAAUCACGAGUGGCUUUUGUGAUUGGGCAUCUUGAAAAGGGGGCGAGAGACUGGGUUAGACCCUGAUGGCAGCGCAUAGUGACGUCCUAAAGGACACGAUGAAGUUCUUUCGCGCCAUGGAUCUGAUGUUUUCCAGCGAUAUUGAAAAGGGAGUGGUGCGCAGACAGUUAAUGGCUUGCAAACAGGGGAGCCGAUCUGUACGUGAGUACUGGACUGAGUUCACCAUGCUGAUACACAGAUUGGGGUGGGACUUAUCGGCGGAACCCAUUCAAAUGCUCUUUGAAGAAGGGCUUUCUUCGGCUGUGAAAGAUGAACUUUCCCGGGCGCCCAGGGCGGAGUCUAUGGACCAGCUGACCAAAUCAGCGCUGGCCAUAGGAGCGCGCCAGGAGGCGAGAGCAUUGGAGAGGCGGGAAGGGAAAGGGGAACGUUGGAAGGAGUUCCGCAUUCCAGACAUUCCAGAGCCAACUUUCCCGCCGGCAGAGCCGAUGGAAAUCGGAACAGCGCGCGCGCGCGCAGUUUCAAAGCCCAGUGAGGGGGGAAAAAAGGAGGGAAAAGGCGCCCGGAAAUGCUAUCUCUGCCAACAGCCAGGGCACUUUGCCAGAGUCUGCCCCCAGAGGAAGGAAUGGCAAGGGAUGGUGGGAGCUGUGGAGGGAAGAGAGGAAAAAUACCGGAGCAACUAAAAGCCAACGCCUGGCUGCCAUUGUCGGGGCACAGCAGCCAGGCCAAAGAGCAGUGAAAGUGCCCACGCCAGAACCUCCUAAACCCGCCCUAGUGAUAGAAGUGACACUAGAGCUGCCAAACGGACACCCUCUAAAGAUAAAGGCGCUGUUGGACUCAGGCAGCUCCUGCAAUUUCAUGAGCAAAGAGUUUGCAGCUGAACACCAGAUACAGACGCUCCUUUAAGCAACCCCUGCCGGUAACCACGAUCGAUGGCAGGGAGCUGUUGGGAGGAGAAGUCAGCUUGCAGACUGGCCCACUGAUAAUGAAGGUGGCAAGGCACACCGAACUAAUAGCAUUUAAUGUGGCCACCUUGGGAGGAGCUCCCAUUAUAUUGGGGAUGAGCUGGCUAGCGUUACAUGAUCCGCUGGUGGGCUGGCAUCAAAGAGUGGUUUCUUUUGGGUCAGCACAUUGCUUAGAACACUGCAAAGAGGGAAAGGUUUUGGCAGGGGCCCAAGCCACCCUAGCAGGGACUGAAGUAACGGAGAACGUGAAGGUACCACGACAAUACGCAGAUCUCCGCGACGUCUUCAGCGAAAGGGAAGCUGACCAACUACCACCGCAUAGAGCCUUUGACUGUCAAAUCAAUUUGCUCCUGGGGCACAGCUCCCUGUGGGCAAGCUGUACGCCAUGUCAGACAGAGAGAUGCAGGAGCUAAGAGAGUUCAUUGACAAGAACCUGAAGAGAGGGUUCAUCAGAGAGUCCAGGGCGGUGGGGCAGCCCAGUGUUUUUGUGGACAAAAAACACGAACAAGCCGAGACUGGUGUGUGACUUCAGGGCCUUAAAUGCAGUGUCAGAACCAGUGGCCUUCCCGAUGCCCAGGAUUGACGACAUUUUGACAAGGGUGCGGAAGGGAAAGAUUUUCACCAAGCUGGAUCUAAGGGGGGCGUACAACCUGAUACGAAUAAGGAAGGGGGAUGAAUGGAAAACCACCAUGUUCACCCCUUUAGGGGCAUUUGAAUACUUAGUUAUGCCCUUCGGUCUACAAGCAGGCUCCGCAACAUUUCAAUCGUUUAUGAACCACGUCCUGGGGCCGUUGCUUUACAAGAAUUGUGUGGCCUUCUUAGACGACGUGUUGGUGUAUUCUGAGAAUGAGGAGCAGCAUGUGAGAGACGUCAGAGAAGUGUUGAGCAGGCUGCAAGCCAACCAGCUGUGGGUGAAACUGGAGAAGUGUCAGUUUCAUACCAAGGAGGUGGAAUUCCUGGGGUAUCGCCUGUCUGACACGGGGUUGGCCCUGGAUCCCGGCAAGGUCCAGGCGGUACUGGAAUGGAAAACACCCAAAACAAGGAAGGAUGUGCAGAGGUUUUUAGGAUUUGGGAACUUCUAUCGUAAGUUCAUCCCAAACUUUGCCCACCUGACGGCGCCCAUUACGGACUGUCUCAGCAGUAAGAAGAAGUUCGCUUGGACGGAGGAGGCGGAGCAAGCAUUUGAGGAACUAAAAGGGCCUUCGCCUCGGAACAACAGCUCCUGCAUGUGGAUUUACAAAACCGAUGAGAGUGGAAACUGACGCAUCAGACAGAGCGGUUGGGGCGGUGCUUCUCCAGCCAGGGAAGGAGGAGUCAGAGUGGAGACCGUGUGCUUUUUUCGCGAAAGCUGAACAAAUCCGAGAGGAACUACACGGUGUAUGACCGAGAACUACUAGCCAUUCAUGAGGCGUUCCGGAGAUGGAGGCACCUGCUAAUUGGCGCACAACAUAAGGUGCAAGUGUGCACUGACCACAAGAACCUAGAGUAUUGGAGGACGGCACGAGUGCUCAACCAACGGCAAGUGAGGUGGGCCCAGGAAUUCUCCAAAUUUAACUUUGAGAUUUGUUACGUGCCAGGCCCAGAGAACAUUAGGGCGGACGCUCUCUCACGCAAACCUGAAUAUUUGGAGGGGGAGGGAGCACCCGAAGAGAGACAUGUCAUUCCAGAGGACCGCUGGGUGUGUGGGGCGGCAUUGGUGGGACAAAGAGAACUGGUAGAAGAAACAGAGAAUGAUGAAUACGCCCAGAAUAAGCUCAGAGGUCUUAGGGAUGAGGGAGAGGAAUCAAGGGGUUUCGAGGAAAGAAAUGGAGCUUUGUAUUACAAAGGGGCACUGUAUAUCCCUGAAGGAGACUUAAGGGGGAGGGUACUCAAGCAGUUGCAUGACAGCCCCACGGCGGGCAUUUUGGGCAACACAAAACCAUGUGGUUGGUCACCAGGGAAUUUUGGUGGCCUAAGGUGAGGGAGGAUGUACGUGAGUAUGUAAGAGGGUGCGAGCAGUGCCAGCGAGCCAAAGGGGAAAGGCGGGCGCCGGCGGGGCUAUUAGAACCCUUACCAACACCAGAACGACCUUGGGAGGCAGUGUCGAUAGAUUUUAUGACUGAUCUGCCGAAGUCCAAAGGGAAAACAGCCAUCAUGGUGGUGGUAGACCUACUAACAAAGAUGUGCCACUUUGUAGCUUGCUCGCAUGCAGUCACGGCGGAAGAGACAGCGAGUUAUUUGUAGAACACAUUUUUAGGUUGCACGGGGUGCCAUUGAGGGUGGUCUCAGACCGAGGAAAACAAUUUACUUCCAGGUUCUGGAGGAAGCUCAUGAGCUUACUGCAGGUGGAGGUCAACUUUUCGACUGCCCGGCACCCUGAAACCAACGGGCAGGCGGAAAGAGCAAACGGUGUCCUCCAGCAAUACCUGAGGUGUUAUGUCAAUGACAGAGAGAAUGACUGGGUAGAAAAGUUGGCGCUGGCGGAAUUUGCCUACAACAAUGCCGAGAAUGUGUCCACAGGGAUGAGCCCUCUUGGCUAAUUAUGGGUGUCAUCCCAGGGCUUUCCCAGGGGAGAAGGGGAGAGAUGGAGCGCACCGGCAGCCGAGCAUUUUGUAGAAGAAAUGGAAGCAAUCCACCGUCAGCUCCAACUCAACUUAGAAAGGGCGAAGGAAGAAUACAAGAGGCAGGCAGACAAGAACCGAAGGGAAGGUGAAACCAUAAGGGGUGGAGAUAGGGUGUGGCUGUCAACACGAGGUAAGCCGAUCAAAGGAGGUUGUAAGAAAUUAAGACCCAGGAGGUUGGGUCCCUUUGAGGUCAUUCAACAGGUCAACCCAGUGGCUUUCAGGCUCCGGUUACCCAACCACAUGAAACUGCACCCAGUAUUUCACAGGUCGUUACUGUCACCGUACGAGGGGGGACGAGAAGGGAUGGCCACUGGGACCGGUCAUAGAAGAAAGAGAAUGCAGCAGUCAUGUGGCAGAAAUCCUUGAUGCCAGGUGGAAGGGGAAUCAGGUGGAGUAUUUGGUAGCGUGGGAAGGAGAACCGGAGUCAGAAAACACGUGGGUAAUGGCCGAAGAUAUCAAUGACGAGGUAUUGAUAGAAACGUUCCAUCAAAGGUUCCCGAGGAAACCUCAGCCUGUGGAGAGGUUCCGGAGGGAAUACUUUGGGACCACUGAGGAGGAGGAGGAGUUGGAAGGAUUCCCAGAAUCGGAAGGGGAAGGGGAGAUGGACUCGGAGGAGGAGGAGUGCUUCGAGACCAGGAACCGCAACAGGUGGAGAGAAGUGUUCGAGACAUCGGAAGAUGAAGGAAGUUCAUUCCGGGGUUUUGCCUCCUCACCGCCCGUAGAGGAGGGGGCGAGAGGGGGUGAAGGGGGCCCUGGAGGGGAGGUGGAUGUCAGGGAACUGCCAUCGGAAGGAAGGGAGGUGAAAGGACUCAGACAGGUUGGAAGAGACUCAGCAGCUGAAGAGGGAACCAGCAAGGGAGAGAAGCUGAACUGAGGGAGGUGAAAGGGCUCAGACAGGUUGGAAGAGACUCAGCAGCUGAAGAGGAAACCAGCAGGGGGAGAGAAGCUGAACUGAGGGAAAGGGAGCUGGGGGGAUGGCUCAGAGAUACUUCCAGCGAAAACAGUGGUGAGGUUUCCGGACCUCCUGUAGGGACACCCACUCCUCGCCGGAAACUGUCACGCAGAGAGUCCAGAAGACGUGUUUCCGUUAAGGAGCUUUUAUGUUGGAAGCGAUUACGAAAGCAACCACUGUCGGAAUCUUCUAGUGACUAGAGGAGCCAUGUCAGAGGGGCUCCGUCACAGACAGAGGUUUGUGGACUUGAACAAACACUGAGGGAAUNNNNNNNNNNNNNNNNNNNNNNNNNNNNNNNNNNNNNNNNNNNNNNNNNNNNNNNNNNNNNNNNNNNNNNNNNNNNNNNNNNNNNNNNNNNNNNNNNNNNCCCUAGCUAGCAGGACCAGUGGUCAGGGAUGAUGGGAAUUGUAGUCUCAAAACAGCUGGAGGGCCGAGGUUGAGGAAGCCUGGGAUACGUACUUUCUGCGGCUACUGCAGACCCUUCCAGGAGUUAAUUGUUUCUGAUGCCUUGCAAUGAUGUCACACUGCCAGCAACAAUGGUUUUGUGGUUCACCACCCAAAAUGCACUCUUUUUGCAAGCCUCUGGCACGGGAGCAUCACACCAGCUACUGAAUUAACAGCUUUCACCUAGAGGAAGUCUCUCGACCAAGUACUAUAUAAAUUACUGACAGGAUGGGGUGGGGUAGGGCGGAAGAUACUUUCUUCCUUUCCCAUACAUUUCAGCAAUGGAGCUCUCAGAGAAGUGUAUUCAGCGGGUGUAGCCUGCCUGCUGACAUAUACCUUUUGUGUUUAGGGGAAUAUGUCAUCUCCCUCUUUGAGGAAGAACAAAGUAUUGGGAAGUAUACUGCUGAAUGAAGCAGCCCAUUUGUCACCUCAGCUCUUUUUGGUCCUCUCCUUUUGAUACUGAUGUAACUGAGCGCACAUUCCUUUAUUUCCUCCUAAAGGCAUCACAAAGGGUGCAGAGCCCUGUAUCCUUUCUCGGAAGAGGCCUCUGAAAGUCUGCUCCUUUUUUCUUUUCUGCCGCCUGUAACAGUGAGCGGAGCAUUUCCUAACUCACAGUCCUCGCAAUCGUGCACAGGAGAAUUUCCUACCUUGCCUUGCCUUGCCAGAGAUUACUCUGGAUUUAAAGGUGGCUGCUUUGGGUGAUGACAUAAUUGUUGGAACAAAUCUAUAAUGGCUGCAAAUGGAGCCUUCUCGAAGCACAAGCAAAUGCCAUUUCCAAUAGGCAUUACCUCUACAAGACGAGACAGACCUAAAGCUCUGGAAUUUUCCUAAUGGCAUUUUCCCCCUUCCCUUUGACAGUAUAAAAGAAGGAAUGUGGGGGUUUAAGAGCUUUAUGUUUUGUCAUGCCUUCCGACCUAAUACAUCCUCAUCCACUGAUGGAAAAGAGUCUGUUUUCUGUUAUGUUAACAAACCAUGAUGAAUGAGAUUGGAUGCUGGUGGGACCUCAUUUCAUCUCUGGUUUCUGUCUGUUUACUUGCUGAGUUCACCGGAACUCUUGUGAGCUUGUGAAUGUAUACUGCAGUGAUGGCUGCACCCAUUUCCCCCCUCACCCAUUGAGUUCCUCUUAUAAUCAUGAUGUGCACCCAUGAAUCGUUUUUGUCAAAGAUACCCCUAAAAUGGUGUUGGUGAAUAUGUUGUGUGCCCUAGAUACUAGGUAAAAGGCUACACCAAUUAACAGGUAGGGAUGGAGCAUGAAUUUGAUUCAGUUUGCAUGAACCUACCCAAUUUAUACUACCUGAAACAAUAAGCAAACUCAAAAUGCAACCAUCCUUCAAAAUUGGCACUUCUCUGAAUUUGCAAUGCCGUUCUUCAACCAAGUCAUGUGUACACAAAUUCAAAUAAAGUGUGGGCGUGAAUGCAUAUAUGACUGAAAAUAACUUCUUAGGAGAAAUGUUUUGCACAAAAUGUGUUUAUUAGGCAAAACAGCAUGCAAAAAUGUAUAUGGGAGGAGAAAUCAACACUAAAAUGCUGGUGAAUUUUCAUGAGGACUUAAAAAAACAACAACUAUUGUGGAAAAGUGAGAAACCAAAAUUGACAGGUUUGCCCAUCGCUAACGGGUUACAACUCCAGUCUGACCCAAAAGUCUUUGGGGUAAAAUUAGGAAAGUGCAGGGCUGAACAUAGUAGCAGAGUAAAUCUCCUCUGUAUCCGAAGCCCUGCUGUUUGCACUGCCCACAGUGAAUGGGGUGGGGUGGGGUGGUUCUGUCCCAUGUUUUGUUGUGUGCACUCCAGGCUAGCACAAUAGAGAGGUCCAGACUGGGUCCAUCACUAGUAGCAGGGCUGCCUUAGCAUCCAGCAGAUCCUUGGCUUGUCCAACUGCAUCCCUCUCAUCACCCAUUGCUCAUUCAAGGGUUUCCUCUGGAAUUAACUUCCACCCACACUUUUGGUGGAUGCAACUGUGAUCUUCACAAUGGUGGAGGUCCACACAGGUGAAACUUAGCAGGGGCAGGGGGAGGGGCACCUCUGCAGCAUCCAAACUCUGUCUGCUACAGCAGAUCAGAGGUUCAGAUUGCUCUGCAAAUAAAUUUUAGAAUCUUUGCCCCACUCUUUGUAUCUGACAGAGCUGUUGUGUGAGUGGAUUUUCAUUUUUAUUAUUUUAUUGACAAAGUUCAUGCUGAAGUCAGGCCAUUCAAGUCUACUGUUUUAUCAGCCUGAGCCCCAGAACAUCUUGGUCACACUCUACAAUGAAGGACAGAGCUAUGAAAUUAACAUCCUGUGCAGUACCAAAAGAGAUUCUAGGUGCCCCAUGGCUGAGUUAUGGUUGCUAUAGGGACAUUGUUUUCCCUAACUUCUCUGCCUCUAAAGCCAACUCAUCCGUAUCUUUGCGUUAAUCUAAUGGUCUUGCACAUUUUCUUUAUCAUCUUAAAAAAGAAGGGGGCAACAGAGAAAGAGAAUGAAGACAGAGAGUGAGAUCUAGGUAAUACCACACAUGAGCCAUUCAAGAACAAAAUGUACCUUAGGCAGAAAAUUCCAUAUCAAGAUGUCUGUUUCACACACAUUUCCUCCGGUAAUAUCCUGUCAUAAACCUUCUCCUUGCCUCCUUUAAAAUAGAAAAGGUUGAGGAGAGAAGAUAAUGUCAGUGCUUUUUUAGGGGGGGUGUACACAGGGGUACGCAUACCCCUAAACAUUUUGUGAGUUUAAGUUUGGCCUCAUUGAGGGGCAGUAUUUCAAUAUGAGUAGGAAAAUGAGAGUACCCCUAAACAUUUAUUUUUUUUGAAAAAAAGCACUGGAUAAUGCUAUAAAAAAAUCUGUUGUUGGUCUUCUCCAAACAACACUCAUUUACUUUUGUUACCGCUGCUGAGACUUUGGAGUGGAAAGGAUUAAGUUGUGCCAUUUAAAUAAAAUAAUAACAUUUGACCAUUGUGUUGAGGCUGACCUGCAGCUAUGCUGGCUAUUUGAAUAUCCCGUUGUUGUUGUUGUUGUUGUUGUUGUUGUUGUUGUUGUUGUUGUUAUACAGUAUCUUCCAGAUAUUUUGGACUACAACUGGAUCAAUGAUCAGGAUCAGUAUAAAGCAGCUUACUAUGUAGUGCAUUUCCAUAUUCCUUAAAUUUGUGCAUGAAUACCCUUAAAUGCUAUGGUAUAACAGGCCAUAAUUCAAUUAAAAUCCCCACGCAAAAGGGCAUGUCAAACUCACAACUGAAUUAUAGCUUUGGGUUCAAUCUUCAGCCUUGCUUUGGGCUGCCCCCACUUUUUUCAACCUCCCAUAGCUAUUUACCAAUACAAUGAAGGCUUGCAGGAACUUUUCCUUGUAAAGUCAGGCUUGACAUUAACAGAUAGGAAUUUGCCACUAACAUAGCAAGAAGAUUACAGUUCUCGGGUGUCAUGGGAAGAAAAGGAUUACAGCAAUCUUUUUCUUGUUCUACAGAGCCUUAUGUAGGAGGAGAGAGAUUGCGCCAUGCUGCCAUAGGAACACGAAAAUGAUGGGGAAAUUAUCUGCAACAUUUUGAAUAAUGAUUUGGCAUACAUUAUAAUAACCUUCUUUGGUUGCUUUCACUGGGGAAGAGGGCACACUGCAUGCUGGUGGGUAGGAACAAUGCUUACAGGACAAUGGGAAACUGUUGCUGCAACAGGGAGAGUUCAGUCCAUGGGUGCAAGAAAAAACACACACAAAUGUAUUGAAUUUUUUUUAUCUAUUAAAAACACAUACCCAACAUGCACAUCCUUUGAGCUAUACUUUUCUUUAAAGAAAGCAUUUAAACAUAAAACAAGCAAAUUUAGGAGACAUUUCUAUAAUGCACAACAUCCUGUUUCUUUGAGGGAGUGUUUUGUUUCCUAAGAAAAUCAAUGCUUGCAAAACAUGUUGAUGGCAAAAAUAAGAACAUACCGUUGUUAGGGUCCUUAUACAUAUUACAUUACAAUUAAAAUCUUAGUGUGCCAGUGAUAAUGAAUCAGAAAAAUACUGCUGGUUUUGUUUUUUACCUCUUCACAUCAAUUUAGAAAUGUUUUGCUUCAGGCUGGAGAGAGAAAUACCUUUCUAACACCCAGACCUAUAGCUCACCCCGUAAUCUAGACUUCUGGGGCAGAAGGAAAUCUUGGAUGCCAAACUCAUGACAUGGUGGAGGCUGAAUUAUCGAAGGGAAACAAUCUAGCAAAAAGGCUGUCAGAGGCAGUGUGGAUUUCUUCGGAACAGAUAACAGGGAGACAUUAGCAUUAGAAGAAAAAGAAAGGUUGGCAAGCAAGCAAGCUGAAGCUGUCGGUGGAGAGGGUUGUUGUCGUUGUUUUUAGCUUGGAAUAGGGCAUUGAUCCUAUUUAUUCUCUCUACAGGCAUACAGGAAUGUGCAUCCCCUCCCCCAUGGGGUGGGUGUGUGUUUAUGCAUGUGGGAGAAGUGACAUGGGAGGGUGCCAUUUUGUGAGAAACCACCAUCAGUUAGGGGGGAAAGGGAGGAAUAUCCUCAUCAUCAGCUGAGGCGUAACCUCCUCACUUCUUAUUAUAGAUGCUUCUCAUGAAAAGAGAAGAAAAUCCAUGAUACUCUGUGUAACAUGUAGUUUGCCCCUCAGUGGAUCAGUCAGACAGCAAAACAUCAUCAAAGUGACAUUACACCUUUAUUUUUUAGAAUCAGGAAGCCAGCCAGAGCUCAGUGAAUCCCACAAAUGUCUGCAAGUGUGAUAUGUACUAGUAUUCUGAAAAUACAGCAUCCUGAGACUCCCACUUUUGUCUCUGAAAAGCAAGUUUACAUUGAAGGUAGGCUUUAAUGUUAGGUGGGUGGACUCAAGUCUUUUGGGGUCUACUUUUCUUUCUUUCACCCAAAUCCCUGAGAGUUUUAAAUGUAUAAAGCAAGAGUACCUAACCCAGAUCUCUUAAUAGUUAAGUCAUAACUAAUUUAUGUUAAGUGAACCUCAGUUUGGUCUUUUGCUUAAGAAGUGCCUUACGGGUUGGAUGAAAUCAAGAUCUUCCUAGUCCAACAUCCUUGGAAGUGUUCCAGCAAAAUUUUCCAAUAGUUCAUUAAUGAACCAUCAGAUACUUUCUGCCCAGUGGCACCAUCCCCUGCUUUAAAGUGUGCCUGGAGAAAUCUCUGAAGCCAGAGGGGAAUCACAUGUAGGGAGGGGCGCUUAACUGCUCUGCAAAGGUUGUUGCUGUUCUUACUCUUUGUGGCAUGUAUAUAGGAAAUAUAUGCACCUUUGCUUAAUUUUGGCAGGUCACUGAACUCAGCUUUUCUUGGCAGACGAUGUUCAUUUGUGCAAAUAAUAAUAAUAAUAAUAAUUUAUACCCCGCCCAUCUGGCUGGGUUCCCCAGCAACUCUGGGCGGCUUCCAACAAAAUAUUAAAAUACAGUAGUCCAUCAAACAUUAAAAGCUUCCCUAAACAGGGCUGUCUUCAGAUGUUUUCUAAAAGUCUGGUAGUAGUUGUUCUCUUUGACAUCUGGUGAGAGGGUGUUCCACAGGCGGGUGCCACUACUGAGAAGGUCCUCUGCCUGGUUUCCUGUAACUUGGCUUCUCGCAGUGAGGGAACUGCCAGAAGGCCCUCAGCACUGGACUUCAGUGUCCAGGAAGAACGAUGGAGGUGGAGACGCUCCUUCAGGUACAGUAUACUGGACUGAGGCCAUUUAGGGCUUUAAAGGUCAGCACCAACACUUUGAAUUGUGCUCGGAAACGUACUGUGUACCCAACCCCAAGAUUGUCAGAUUGUGUCUCUCUUGUGUUUGCAACUGUUUGCUCCCUGUUUGUUUGUUUGUUUGUUUGUUUGUUUGACGGAAUGCUGAGUUGUCCUAUGGGUGAAAAGGGAUCAGUACCAGAUUUAGGGUGCUGUGGGAGGUUUCUCCACACAGGGUGUUGAGCCAAGGGGGCUAAUCCUCCUCCUCAUCAGCACCAUCCAAUAUUUAUAUGGGUACCUAUUGAGAAGAUCCAUAAAAAAGCAACUGUAUCCAAAUGAAUUCUUGUGAAAAUAAGAAAUGGGGGUGGGACACACACACACACACACACACACACACACACACAGACACAAUUUUGUCCUUACCAUAUUACCAAAGUCCUCACCUGAAACAGAAAAAGGAAGGGAAUGCUCCAGACCAGAAUUCUCAUGGUCGUAGCUUGAGACCUACUUCAUUGCACUACCUGGACCUUAAAGUUGGAAAGUCCUCAGAGCAGGGAAGGCAAAUGGAUGGAGUCUUCCUGUGUAGAACUUGACGUUUUGCUCACAAUUCUGCUGCGAAGAAAAGGCACAGUGGCACUGGUGUUGACUUCCUGCUUCCUUUUGUGGUAUUGCUAUCUCAGGCAUGUUCUAUGAAAGCCGAUGACCCUCUACUGUUCUUCUCAUUGAGGGGUCAUUCAGAAAGCUCAACAUAUUUUACUGCCUGAAGCAGAGCCCCAAGUGGUGGCUGUCUUAUGGUAGGGCCCAUGUGUUACAAAGCCUUGUGCUCUGUUAUUCAGAUACCAGUCCGUUCUUUUAUCUAUUCAUGCCCCCCAUGCUGCCUGAAGCACAAUGCUUCACUGUGCUACAUGGUAGGCCUGCUCUGCCACUUGCCUCAUACUAGGCUCAACAUUAACAUGCAUCGUCAUCAAACAACUGCUGAGGUCCCAGCAAGACCAACUGCUAAGUCUUGCCCUGAGUUGUCCAAUCAGUGCUGCCUGCCCAGCCACUAUUUUAAUUUUCUGCAGUGCCACUGGUAUUGCAUCAAUCCACCUCACUGUAGGAAAUUAUCAUGGUGGCCCUUUUGAUUUCCCACAAGGCUCAAAGUGUUGCCACAUUUGAGGGCACUAUUGGAAAUUAAAAUGGUGGCUGGUGCAUAGCAAAGUGCUGCUAUGCCCAGAACUACCAUGUAAGCCUGCUAGGGAGGCCACUGAUGUAGGAUGAGUCCCACCAGAGGUCCCUUAGCCAACCGCCCUUCACACCUGCAGCUAGCUCUGCUUCACAUUACUCAAAAGCAUAUGCUCCAUACAGAUAGGUGAUGCCAAUUUUGUGAUGUGGCGGGAUUGAACUUGCUUCUAGAUUUAUAAUAUUAUAGUCAAAAUACUAAUGUUGACCAACGCUGUUCUUUAGAUGUGAUGUUGUCCAGUUAUAUGGAUCAUCUUUGUGGCUUUAGAACGUACACAUAUAUACUGUUGACAGUAGCAUAACAAGGCGCUUGUCCAUUAAAUAUAUGAAUCAUUACUUUGCUUAAGAUUGCCUAAGCCUCCCUUGUCUGCUUUUCUAAUUUAUUUUCCUUCAAUUACUUUUGCAAGAGAGUACAUUUUGCAGGAUCUGAAAGCCCCCUGUACUUAGAUAACAUGUUUUCACAGCACUCAUUUAUCCAGCUUCUUCUCAUUGUGUAGUCAAGAGAGAAAUUCAAUUAUUUUCAUUUCGGGAGUGAAACCCCGAAGCUGGGCUACCCAGCAGCUUACAAAAUUGAUAGUAUAUGAGUAGAAGUCAACAUGCUAACUGUGUUAAUAAGUUCAUCUAACACAUUUGUAUGUUAAAAAUAAGAACACAAUGCUUAAAAAGCAAACAGAUCAAACACUUUUUAUAGCCAUCAUUUCCUUUGGAAAGCCCAAUGCAACUCAUGAGGUGCUCCUAAUGGUCAGGAUCCUGCUCAGGAUAAAUCUGUUAAGAAUCAGCACAAUAGUACCAAACACUUGCAGACCAUUCGCUGGGCACCAGUAGGUAAGAUACAAAAUUCCUCAGCCACUAUCAGUUAACAAAUCUAUGGGGAGACCAUUUGACCUCCUAGUCUCUGUGCAAGCUCCCUCAGGACAGAUACUUGCCAUCUUGUGCUCUGUAGUAUGCCAUGCACACUGGAAUAGGGAGCUGCCUUAGUCAACCCAUUGUUCCAUCUAUCUCAGUAUUGUUGACACUGAGUGGCAAAAACCCUCCAGGGCUUCAAACAGGGGUCUCUUCAAGCCUUACCUGGAAAGACCAAGGAUUGGACAUGAGCUUUUUUAAUGCAAAGUAUGUGUUCUGCCACUGAGCUAUAGCCUUUCUCCAAUUACUAAUGAAUGAAUGUACUUUAUUUUCUGCAUCAGUGUGGGUAGCUUACUGGGUAAGAGUAUUACUGCCCUCCUCCUUGCUUUGCUGUAGAACCACUACUAGAGAUGGCCAGGGUCAUAUCGCAGCUAUCAACUAUAGGGUCCUAUGAAAUUAUUGACUCUGUCUUGCAACCUGUUGCUAAAGUACAGGUUGCUGUUGAAGUGCUUGCUCCUGCUUGCUGUCAGAUCACCAGCCCUGACACUUCCUGCUUUCUUUCUUCAGACCUGCCUGCAAUUGUGUUCCCAGGUCUUCUGAUUCCACGGGGUUUCCCCAGAUAGUCAAAGAUGAUAGCAUGUUAUUUAAAUAUCAAAAAAUUGCUAAAUGGAGUUGGCAAAUUGUUCACAGACCAACUAUCUGGUGCAUGCAAACUAGACACACCUGCUAGCCAUAAACUGCUUUACAUUCCGCAGAAUUCUGAAAUGUGUUGCUGAGAUUUCACAAACGUAAUUAAAACAUGGAAGGUGGGCGCAGAUGAAGCUAAUUUCACAGCACCAUGUACUCUUUAGAGGCUCUUUAAUCCUCCAUGGAGGCAUUAAGGCUGCAAUUUUAUGCAUGCUUUCCUGGAAGUAAGCCUCAUUGCCAUCCUUACCAAUGUGAGAAGGAGAGAUUUGGAUGUGGUGAGCCAGCCCUACCAUAAGACAGACUAAGGCUGAUGCCUCAGGUGGAAAAUGUCAAAGGGCAGCAGUGUUCCCCUACUUUUCUUCAUCUAUUCCAGGAUUCAGUGCUGGCAUUGAUAUAGUGUAUUCAAAUUUUGUUCCAUAAAAACAUCACAUCAAUAAGAACAACAAAGAGCAAUGAUGUACAUAUGUUUUAAAUUAGCUGUACAGUAUUCAUGAUGAUGAUAUUUUUUUCUUCACUGUAUUCCAAGUGUUUUUAUUGAGUAUUACAUGACUCCUAGCCUGAGUUCUGGUGCCUUUUGGCACAUAUUAAGCCUUGGUGAGUGGGUGGAGCCAGCAGGUGUGUGACACUCCAAAUGCUGUUGGAUUACAGCAUCUAUCACCCUUGACCAUAGGCCACGCUGGCUGGAGCUGAUGGAAUCCAACAUCUGGAGGACCACAGGUUCCCAUGCCCUAAGUCCAUCUAAUGUCUCCAUCUUAAAGCAGUUUAAAAGGGCUGGGUUAGACAUCUUACUCUUUAAAGCUUCUCCACUUGGGGAAUCAGCACUCCCAAGCUGGAGAGCAGACCCCCUCCACACACAGUCACACAGGAAGCACAAGGGAAGCACAGCUAGAAAUGUCUCCUUGAAACAGACCACUUCCAUUUGAUAACUAGGCAAGACUCUGCUGUGCUACUUAAUAGAAAGUCCAGCAAUCCCUGGCAGCCAUCCCAGCUUUUCAGCAAAACAAAACAGUGUGAGUUGUGUUUAUGUUUUCUCACCUAAUGCCUGAGUAUUAUGCAGGUUAUUGUCACUCCAAAACACACAUGCAUCAGUAAAACAGAGCCAUUAAAAGGGGCAGAAAGACAGACAGAGUUUUCCUGGGGAAUAUCAAUUUAAUAGUUUACUUGCUGGAUCUCUGAAUGCGGUUACAGAGUGGAAGAGCCCCAUUUAAAAAUUUCUUUAAGCCACAUGGGAAGGGUCUGGAGCUGAAUUGCAGGACAUACCUGUAUGUUUUGCAUGCAAAAUGACCUUACCCUCAGGCCACUCCAGACUGGUGUUUAUUAUGUGGGCAUAUUCUGUAACAUGUCUUUGAUGAAUGGAUGGCAGAUUUAUACUGAACUGCCCGCACCGUGUUCUGCUUCCUUAGUCGUUCUGUGAUGCUUUCCCAAUGUUACUGCCAUCCGGAGGGGCACUCUUGCACUAUAGCACAAAGAAAGUGGGACAGCCCCUCUGCCCCGUAAGAUCUGUGGCACAAAAAAAUACAGGCUUUCAACAGGAAGCUAUGCAACAAGCACCAUCUGGAAACAAAGCAGUGUGUCUGACCCAAAACUUUUGCAGAUAUAAACAGUAUUAAAAAUGAGAUCAUGUAUAACUGCCCAUAUACACUCAUGAGCAGAUAUAGGUAAAGGUAAAGGUACCCCUGACCAUUAGGUCCAGUUGCAGACAACUCUGGGGUUGCAGUGCUCAUCUCACUUUAUUGGCCGAGGGAGCUGGCGUACAGCUUCCGGGUCAUGUGGCCAGCAUGACUAAGCCGCUUCUGGCGAACCAGAGCAGUGCAUGGAAACGCCGUUUACCUUCCCACUGGAGUGGUACCUGUUUAUCUACUUGCACUUUGAUGUGCUUUCGAACUGCUAGGUGGGCAGGAGCAGGGACCAAGCAACGGGAGCUCACCCCGUCACAGGGAUUCGAACCGCCGACCUUCUGAUCGGCAAGCCCUAGGCUCUGUGGUUUAACCCACAGUGCCACCCGCAUCCCAUGAGCAGAUAUAACCAUGCACAAAAAUAAUAAAAAAGAUGUCUGAGGGGUCUUUAGUCAUUAUUCAGAUUGUGUGAUUAGCAACCAUAUUGGUUGGUUUGCUUGUUAAAAAGACUUCCGGGGUGGCGCCAUCGGUAAUGGCGGAGUCCCUCUGACUCGGAGGGGACCGGCUCUGCAGAAAUCGGGUCUGUACCACUACGGCGAAGCGGGGACCCUUCUAAAAUCACAGGCGGGUGAAGCCUGUGACCGUGGGACUCGGCGGGCACCUUUUGCGCCCCCCCCAAUUUGCAAAGGAGCCCGAUUACGGGUUCCGGAGUGAAGCAGGGAAGCGGCGCGGUGCUGUGAGUCAACUGCUUCUUCCGUGGAGCGAAGCCGCACAGCCGUUACCGGAGAGCGCUACCUUUUCCUGUGACAAUUUGGCUACAAAACAACGAUCCGUGAGUAGGCUAAUUUGGGAAUUAAAGGAGAACAAAGAAUAAAGAAGUAAUUUGAUACCGAAGCGGAGAGGCAUAAACAGGAAGUCUGCCUUCCGUUCUUUGUAAAUAGAGUAAAGCAAUGAACUUGUAAGCUAAAACCUUGAAAGACGCUUGAAAAGGACUAUAAUUCUAUCAUCAAAACAAGCGAUUUCCCCCCUUGAUUGCAGGAGAGGAGGGGGGAAAGGUGUGAACUGUAUUUCCCUGCAAAAAGAGAGAAAAGGAAGCUAAAAUCCACCGCUUAAACCCUGGGAACGGGCUGCCAAUGAACAAUAAGAAUGCCGUACUGUGAAAUGCGCUAUUGGUGAAAGUACUUUCUGACAGCUAACUCUGCAAGUGAGAUACAAGUGGGAUACAAUAUUUCUGGCUGGCUUCUCCUGGUUUCAAAGUAACUGGAAAAUAACUGAAAAUUGAAACUGUCAUCUAUUUUGUGAACUGGGGGGAUUAAAAGAAAAAAGGUUAUUUAUUUUAAGGUAACAACUUCGGACUGCUACUGUGUCCCCCUAGAGGAAGUUUGAAACAGUUACAAUAAUAACUGGGCCAGGGGAAUUUUCCACUUCAAAACAAAUUCUGGUCGUGGGAUUGACCUUGGGCCUUAUCUAGAGUGUUAUGGCAAAAGAAAAAGAGAAAAUAGAUUUGCUUCAGGAAAAAACAAUGAGGUCUGGUAGAUCAUUUCGCCCAGACGUUGGGCUGCAGCAAAGAGCAUCAACAUCUGGCCCUUCUGGCCCUUCUGGCUUACCAACAGGGGCUGCAUUGGUACAAUCUAAACCCAAAGGAAUGGCAUCCGAAGAUGCUUUAGCUCAGGCACUAGGUAAAAUUAAUGAAUCUCUGGAAAAAAUAAGUAAACAAGUAGCUGAAGCAUCAGUUAAAAUUGAUCAAAAUACCACAAGUAUUAACAAUUUGGGACAGAAGGUAAAUACUAACACAGAAACCAUUGAGAAAUUGCUACAGGAAUCUACUUCGACCCGAAAGACAGCUGAAGAAGCAAAGGAAAUAGCAGUUGCUGUAGAAGAGAAGAUACCACCGAUACACAAGCAACUUGAAGACCACAGGUUAAUAUUGUCUAUGAUUGAAUUGAAGGAGAAACAAAUGAAUUUGAGGAUCAGGGCCGUACCUGAACUUGAGAAAGACAACUUGACUGACUUCCUUACCCAGGAAUUUGCAGACUUUUGGAAUCCAGACUUGGAGAAGGACAACUUUAAGAUAGUGAGCGCUUUCAGGCUUGGAAGAGGAGGGAAGAAGAACAGGGUGAGAGACUGUUUGAUCACCCUCCGAACAAAAGAGGAGAGAGACAAAAUCUUGAGUCUGCACUUCCAGAAGACUUUGGAAAUACAUCAGUCAAAGGUGGAGAUAUUUAAGGACAUUCCGAAAUAUCUUUUGGACCUUAGAUCCAAUUAUAGAGAUCUGGUUGCCCUGCUGAGAAGCAACAAAAUCAUCUUUAGGUGGGAAUUCCCCCAAGGCCUUUCCUUUAGUUUCAAAGGAAGAAAGAUAAAAAUAAGAUCAGAGGACGACAAAGAAAGAUUUUUGAGAGACCACGGAGAAGACCUGCAGAAAGAAGCUGGAGAAGAGUCAAGAAUACUAGAAAGAGGAACUUUAGACAUACCAAGACUACCUUUUGAAUUAAAAGACCGCCUGGAGAAGGUGAUACCACCGACAGAACAGGAACAGGCACUUGGUGCAGUUGGAGGAGAAGUAAAGUAACUACAUCAUGGCUCUGCAACUAUUAAGCUGGAAUUGUAAUGGUCUCAACUCCCCUCAGAAAAGGAAAUCUGUGUUUCAUUUAUUAAAAAGGAACAAUUGGACUUGAUUUGUUUACAGGAAACACAUGUAACAAGGUUACACAGGAAAGUAUUGAUCAACAAAAGACUGGGCCAGGAAUUUAUUUCUUCGGAUAAAGUUAAAAAAAGAGUAGUGAUUUAUGCAAAGGAGAGACUAUUACCGAAAUUUAUCUUCAAAGAUGACCAAGGAAGAUUUGUGGCAAUUGAAAUUCAAAUACAAGGAGAGAAAUUUUUAAUAGUAGGAGUUUAUGCACCAAAUGAGGGAAAUCUGAAUUCUUUAAAAAGUUGCAUGAGACCUUGAUGGACUAUUUGGACUAUAAUGUGAUUUUGAUGGGAGAUAUGAAUGGAGUGGUAUCUACACAUAUGGACAAGGCACAAAGACAGGUAGUCACUAAGGAUGGUAGACUACCGAAAACCUUUUUUGAGAUGACAGACAACUUGGACUUAGUUGAUAUCUGGAGAACAAAGAAUCCCCUGGCCAGAGAGGGAACCUUCUUUUCUGAAGCCAAACUGACAUGGACAAGAAUUGACCAAAUAUGGCUAACUAGAGGAAUGGCACCAAAGACAAGAAAAGCAGAAAUCUGCCCAAAAACCUGCUCCGACCAUAAUGCUGUUAAGAUGGAGAUGAAACUAACACCAACCGGCUCCUUCAGAUGGAGGAUGAAUGAUGCCUUAUUUAGAGAUGAAGAAGUCAUUAAGAAGGCCCAAAAAACCUUGAGAGACUAUUUUGAGAUAAAUAUGAACACCAAUGUUGAAAAAAGAGUAAUCUGGGACGCAAGCAAAGCUGUUAUGAGAGGGUUCUUGAUACAACAGAAUGCAUUAAAGAAGAGAAUCCAAAAUGAGAAGAAGGAUAAAAUAUUGGAGAAAAUAAAGGAAAGUGAAAAGAAAUUGAGAGCAAAACCAAAGUCGCAAGAGAUUUUGAGAGAAAUAAAGUUAUAUCAAGUACAAUACAUGAAAAUGAUGAAUCAGGAGAUAGAAUGGAAAAUUAAACAAAUGAGACAAAAGACAUUUGAGUCGGCUAAUAAAUGUGGGAAAUUGUUGGCUUGGCAAAUGAAAAAAAGACAAAAACUAAAUACUGUCACAAAUUUAGAAGUGGAAGGAAGGAAUAUACAGAACCCAGUUGAGAUUAGAAAUUGUUUCCAGAGGUAUUUUAAACAACUAUAUACACAAGGGCCACAGAAAGAAAUUGAUGUAGACCGAUUUUUGAAAACAAAUGGAUUACAAAAAAUCUCUCAAGAAAAUAAAUUAAUGCUGAACUAUAAAAUAACUGAACAGGAGGUAGAAGGUGCCAUUCAGAAUAUGCAACUAGGUAAAUCUCCAGGACCGGAUGGACUGACUUCUAGAUACUACAGAUCCUUGAAGGAAUGGCUAGUACAACCUUUAAAGGAAGUCUGUAACGAAAUAAUGGGUGGGAAAAGGGCACCAGAGUCGUGGAAAGAAGCGUAUAUUACACUUGUACCGAAAAUAGAGACUGAAAAGACCCAGCUUAAGAACUACCGCCCCAUAUCACUGCUCAAUGUGGAUUACAAAAUCUUUGCAGACAUUUUGGCUAAAAGACUAAAAAGAGUCCUAAUGGAAGAGAUACAUAAAGAUCAAGCAGGCUUUCUCCGGGUAGACAUUUGUCUGACAAUGUGAGAAACAUAAUCAAUAUUUUAGAAAAACUACAAGUGAAUAUAAAUACCAAGGCAGUUUUGAUAUUUGUGGACGCGGAGAAAGCCUUUGACAAUAUUUCUUGGAGUUUCAUGAAGAAGAACCUACAGGGGAUGGGGGUAGGCCAAGGCUUUGAAAACGGUAUAAGUGCAAUUUAUUCAGAACAAAAGGCUAAAUUAAUUGUAAAUAACGUGGUGACGGAGGAAUUUAAGAUAGAAAAAGGGACACGACAAGGUUGCCCAAUCUCCCCAUUGCUAUUUAUAUCGGUCCUGGAGGUCCUGCUGAAUAUGAUUAGAAGGGACCAAUUGGUUAAAGGUAUACAAGUCGGAGCUAAACAGUACAAAUUGAGAGCAUUUGCAGAUGACUUAGUAUUGACAUUGCAGGAGCCAGAAUCUAGUACUAAAAGGGUUUUGGAACUGAUUCAAGAAUUUGGUCAGGUUGCAGGAUUUAAAUUGAAUAAGUUAAAAACAAAGGUCUUAGAGAAAAACUUAACUGUGAUUGAGAAGAGAGGUUUCAGAAUGAGACAGGUUUAACAGUGGUUAAGAAAGUGAAAUACCUGGGGAUUAACAUGACAGCAAUAAUUGGGAAUCUAUUUAAAGACAAUUAUGAAAAAUGCUGGGCUGAAGUGAAAAAAGACUUAGAAAUUUGGUCAAAUUUGAAGCUUUCACUGCUAGGCCGUAUUGCUGCGAUAAAAAUGAAUGUAUUGCCUAGAAUGUUAUUUCUCUUUCAAACAUUGCAAAUUUUGGACAAAAUGGAUUGCUUCAAGAGGUGGCAGAGAGAUAUCUCUAGAUUUGUCUGGCAGGGCAAGAAGCCUAGAAUAAAAUUUAAAAUACUAACGGAUGCAAAGGAAAGAGGUGGAUUUGCCCUGCCAGACCUUAAACUUUAUUAUGAAUCAGCAGCUUUUUGCUGGCUGAAAGAAUGGCUGCUUCUUGAAAACACAGACAUUUUGGACUUAGAAGGUUUUAAUAAUGUAUUUGGAUGGCAUGCAUAUUUGUGGUAUGAUAAGGUCAAAGCACAUAAAGCAUUUAAAAAUCAUAUUGUCAGGAAAGCAUUGUUUAAUGUCUGGAUAAGAUAUAAAGACCUACUGGAAAAUAAAACCCCAAGGUGGCUGUCACCGAUGGAAGCGAAAGCUCUGAAAAAGCUCAAUAUGGAGGCCAAAUGGCCGAAAUAUUGGGAAAUUCUGGAACAAGAGGGAGAUAGACUGAAAUUGCAGAGCUUUGAGAAACUAAAAAACAAAGUGCGAGAUUGGCUUCAUUAUUAUCAGAUAAUGGAGGCAUACAAUUUGGAUAAGAAAAUAGGCUUCCAGGUGGAAAAAUCAAAAUUAGAAACAGAACUGUUAGAACCCAAAACUAAGAUUUUGUCAAAGAUGUAUAACUUGCUGUUGAAAUGGAAUACUCAGGAUGAAACGGUUAAAUCUGCUAUGAUUAAGUGGGCACAAGAUGUUGGACAUAACAUAAUGAUGGCUGACUGGGAACAGUUAUGGACCACAGGUAUGAAGUUACGGCAUGUAAUGCCUUAAGAGAGAAUAUUAUGAAAAUGAUAUACAGGUGGUACAUGACACCAGUCAAGCUUGCAAAAAUCUAUCACUUGCCCGAUAAUAAAUGUUGGAAAUGUAAAGAGACUGAAGGUACAUUCUUUCACCUUUGGUGGACUUGCCCAAGGAUUAAGGCUUUCUGGGAGAUGAUCUAUAAUGAAAUGAAAAAGGUAUAUAAAUAUACCUUCUUGAAGAAACCAGAGGCUUUUCUCCUGGGCAUGGUCGGCCAAUUGGUGCCAAAGAAGGACAGAAUUUUCUUUAUGUAUGCCACAACAGCAGCAAGAAUACUUAUUGCAAAGUAUUGGAAGACACAAGAUUUACCCACUCUGGAAGAAUGGCAGAUGAAGGUGAUGGACUAUAUGGAACUGGCGGAAAUGACUGGCAGAAUCCGAGACCAGGGAGAAGAGUCGGUGGAAGAAGAUUGGAAGAAAUUUAAAGACUAUUUACAGAAAUAUUGCAAAAUUAAUGAAUGUUAGAAUGAUGUCAGAAUGAAAUUAAGUGGUCUUAGCAGCAAUGUUAUAAAGGUGUAUGUACAAAUGGAUUGUUAACAGAUGAGAAUCUAAAGUUAUAAUAUGUUAAGUUAAAGGAUUAAGACAAAAACAAAGAGGGAAAGGAAUUGCUGAAUUAACUAAUAGAACUGGAAUACAAAAAAAGGGAGGUGUGAGGAAGUCAGGGAAGUAAGGAAAUGAAAUGUAAGUUAUGGAAAGAUCGAUGUGUGUUUUUUUUUAAAGUGUUUUUUAUCUUUUUUCUGUAUUUUGUAUUUUUUUCUUUUUUAUUUCUUUUUCUUUUCUUUUUAUCUAUGUAAUUUUUUCUUUGAAACUUUAAUAAAUAUCAUUUUUUUUAAAAAAAAAGAUAAUGUUCAGCAUGUGGGGUGAUAUCAGCCCCCAGGCACUCUAUCUUUGGCAUUCUCCGUGCCAGGUAUUCAGAUGGAUAUGCUUAGAAGCAUCAACACAACCAGGAACUCAGAUAGGCCAGGGUCAGGCAGAAUUUUCCAAUUGUUUCCAGAUGAGCUCAUUUAAGGGCUUCCUGUGGACCUUCUCAAUUCAACACAGAGCCUGGCAUGCAGGGGGAAACUGAGGAAGGCCUUGUGUGCACACCCUCAUGUUUCCUACUAUUACCUGUUUGGCAUAACACCUUGCAGGGGGCAGCAAACUUUUUCAGCAGGGGGCCAGUCCACUGUCCCUCAGACUUUGUGGGGGGCCGGACUAUAUUUUGGAGGGAAAAAAUGAAUGAAUUCCUAUGCCCCACAAAUAACCCAGAGAAGCAUUUUAAAUAAAAGGACACAUUCUAUUCAUGUAAAAACAUGCUGGUUCCCGGACCGCCCACAGGCCAGAUUUAGAAGGUGAUUGGGCCAGAUCCAGCCCCUGGGCCUUAGUUUGCCUACCCAUGCCUUAUGGUAACUUCAUCUCAGGAAUUGUUGUGGAUAGGAUGCCCUAUUACUGCAACUGCAAGGAGAUCGAUGGCUAGAGAUGCGUAAGGGAAGCAUUUCAUGGAAAAGGAGAGGGAAUAUGGCCUGGCAACUUUACAGUUGCAUAUAUUGAAAUGAAUCAACACAUGCCAAUGCGUAACGAAAGGUUUAAAUGCAUACAGAGCCUGUUUCCUUCAUGACAUCAGGGACGGGCAGAACGCUGUGAGUGUGCACUGCUGGAAGUGGGCUGACUCAGGAGAGGGGGACUGUGGUUUGUGGGGGCCUGUACAAGACAGGAGGCGAGAAUCAGAGGCGGGGGGUGGGCUUCAGAACUGGAGGAAGAGGCAGGACAGGCAAGUGAAAGGCUGGGUGCUUCCCCACCUUCUCCUGCACCACUGCCUCCCAGAACCAGGAGAGAACUGAAGCAGGAAGAGCAGGGGUAGCUUCUACACAGGCAUAGUCUCUGGCUAGGUGCAUGCAGCCUGUCAGGGGAAGGUACAUAAACUGGUGGAGGGGGAGUGGUCCCCAGUUGCUGCAACUGCUCCAUAGAUUGUGGACCUGGGAGUAGCUGCCUAGAUGCUAGGACAGUGUGUGCAGGUAUCCAGAACUGCAGAAGUGAUGGUGUUCUUUUUUUGUUUACAAUAAAGGGUUGGAAGCACCCUUGACACAUGAUCAAUUGCUGGUAUCUACUAAAUCUGAAUCUAAGAAUAGAGACUACUCCACCCCCACACCAUAUAUGCAAAUUAGGGUGCUAGAAUAUUGGUUUUGUUGCUAUGAUACCAACCUGAGCAACUUUGCACCUAUAUUCUGCAUGGUAUACUGACUACACACACACACACACACACACACAGAGUAUAUAUCUAUAGCUAUAUUUCCCUAGCUAAUUGUUGGGGGGGGGACACGUGUUACAUAUGGUAGAUGUUUCACAUGGACUCCAGCCCCACUCAGAUCACUGAGGAUUUUGUGUUUUUCAGACUGAAGUGAAGAAUUCCAGUGUUUUGUUCAUGUAAUAUACUAGCCGCAGAGCUUCAUAAUGAACAGUUUGCUUAUGCGGCUUGCUUACUGCCUGACUGUGAGACACUAUUAUUUUGCUUAAAAGAUGUCAUUAUCUGAUAAUAACAAAUUGCCUGUGAUGAAUGUGAGGUGGGCAGGAAUAUAUUUAUUUUCUUUUUUCUUUGCAAAAUCCAAAACUGUUUAAAACAAGCAACUUUGUCAUAUUACCAAAACCCUGUGGUAGUGAUGGGCCCUCUGGUGUUCUACUCAAUGUUUGAUGCAAGUGUGGUGUGGCUUAAGAGUGGGUAACCUGUGAUCCUCCAGAUGUUGUUGGAAUCCAACUCCCAUCAGCCUCAGCCAGCAUAGUCAAUGGUCAUGGUUAAUGGAAACUAUAGUCUUAUAAUAACUGGAUACCUACUGUGGCAUUCAUACGGAGCCCCCGGUCAUCUCACGGACUAUUGACCCAUACACCACUAAUCCGCUGCCACCAACCAGGUCCCCCCUGGUAAAUCACUUAGUCUCAGUCAGGUUCUCAAGUUAACAAAGAAGAGUGUAGUUUAUUGCAGACUUUAACUGCAUUCCAAACGUUACUCAUUACCUUCUUAAUCUUCUUUUAUCCUGUCUCUAUCUCUUCUACCUCCCCUCACAAAAGAACCCAUUGCACUAACUGUCUCUCUAUUUCCAACUGCCUGCCAACUGCUUUUCCAACUGCCUUUCCCAACCAACCAACCCACUAAAACCAACCAACCACCCACACUCAAACCUCGGGCUAAGCCCUUUUAUAAACGGGUAGGCUCCGCCUCCGACUUUCCUAUUGGUCUAUAUUUUUAACCCUUUCUCUCUCCCCUGUACAGACAUUUUCAAACGAAUGGGCAAACACCACACCUACCAAUUCCCCAUUCCUAUGAAGGGCUAAAUCUGCUCCAUGCUUAUGGUGACUUCACGGCCUGGACUGUUGGGUAUUUAAGUUUUACUCUACUCCUCAGUCUAUUGACCACACUGGAACUCUUUUACCUUGUUCCAUAGAACUUACCGUAAGUGGGAGCUAUUGAGAACAAAGCUCAUUUCUAUCUGGGUUCUGUUAAUUGGACACACCAUGCUAGAGUAUGACAAGAACUCAGGGACUAGCUUCUUGUAUCUGAUGAGCUAUGGGGAAGUAGGAAGUGCUUCUGAGUGUGACACCAACCUUCCAAUGUAUGCCCUGUUUAACCAUUGCACCAUGAUGCCUUUCAAGUCCUAGAGACACCACGGCCCAUCUUCAUCACAGAGUCAAGAGCUUUGAGGUCAUCUGGUAUGUGCCAUUGGUGGCUUGCUGCAUAUGACAGUUCCCAAAUUGGGAUACAUUAUUCAUCCCUCUUUUUGCCCUUCAAAGGCCCAGCUGGAGCCAGAAGGAGGGGGGGGGACCACUGUCCUUAAGACAUGAGUGCACAUUGCAAACCCGUGCUUAUAAUUUAAGCCAUUAAAAAGGCAGGCCCAUUAUGCUGUAAUUAUUUAUUGAUUUUAUAUACUAUAGCCAUUAUGCACAGCACUCCCUGAACCAAUGUUAAUAGUCAGCAAAUUUGAAAAUCCUCCAAUCUGACCUAUUUUUAUCAGGAGAUGCCAGUUACGCAUAUAAUAACAAUGGCAUUCUAAAUUGUUAUAAAUGAAGAUAAAUGAAAAGGAAGGAGGGGACAAUAAUCAAUAACUUCCAGGGAUUUUAAAGUGAAAGCAGACCAGGCAGCCUCUGCCAUGAAGAAUCAGCCUUAGUCUGUUCUCAAAGAGAGUUUUGCCAGAUGGGGACAUCCUUUUUGGUAUCUUCCGCUUUGAGAUUAGCCAAUGGCAAUAAACCUUGGCGAUAUGAACAUAGAGCCGCAAAAUGGCUCAAGGAGAAAAUUCUUCUCAGCCCUAACAGAGGGCACCUUCAAAUGGAGGACUCUUCAAAGGAGUCCUUCAAAACAGAGAAGUGCCCUCUGCAGAGUAGGACAUAAGACCACUCUAUUCAUAGAACAUGGAUUCACUGCCUCUCUCUCUCUCCAUGAGCUUCUGGAUAUGUAUGCAGGCAGAGCUAAAGGGCGUUAACAGAAAUGAGAGGUCUAUAUAUGCCCAGCCUGUCAUCUUUCUCUGUCGUUAGUCUCUGUCUAGACUACAAGCAACUUCCAUGACAUACGGAUAGAUGGAUGUAUAGGAAACGUGCUUGGCCCACCCAUUUCCUGUAAUACUACCUCAGAAGGCGAGGGGGAGCAAAGGACUUUGCCAAGCACAGGCAAUGUGUCCACAUUUGAAAUGAAUCCAAUCUUCUUUCUUCUUCUUCUUCUUCUUCUUCUUCUUCUUCUUCUUCUUCUUCUUCUUUUCGAGUUCAAGGAUUAUUCAAUGUAGCAAACAUCAAUAAAAUAUGAAAAGAGCUCCAGGUAAAUAUCAAAAACUAGAUCAAACAAGAAACUAUCAUAUGAUAAAAGAACACCACUAGCCAGCUUUUCUUUUUAAAACAGAAAACAGAGAGUUCAAAAAUCAAUGAAUGCAUUUACAAAUAUUAAUUUAAAAACUGUUUUUGAUCCACAUCUACACUUCCCCUGAGAAUAAAUGCCAAAUGAUUAAAUUGUAGUUGGGGGCGGGGAGAGAAACGCAUCAGAUUAUACGAAAAACCAGAAAAUGUCAAUCUUGACAAUUUUCAUGACUGCGACAUGAAGUCAGUUGCUUUUUCUCAAGCCCCCAUCAUUAUGUCAAAGAACUUGAAUGGAUGUAUUAAUUUCUUGAAGCACUUUUGAGGAAGUGCACACUUUGUGUACCCUGAUGUUGGACUUCAACUCUCAUAAUCCCCAACCAGAUUAGCUAAUGUUCAGGGAUGAUGGAAGUUGUAGUCCAACAACAUCCAUGGACCCAUGGUUGAAGAACACUAUGGUAAUGGUUGGGGUACUACCUGCCUGUCAACUUUCCCUUUCUCCUUGCCAACAGCUGCUCUGACUGCACACUGCUGCUGACUCAAAUGAUAGGCACAAUCAAGUAGGAGAAUGAGAGGCUAUGCUCACCUGAAAUAGAACAAACUGUGUCCACACGCUCCUGCUUCCGCCUGCCCCAGUUAGAAACUGUUGUUUGCUGAUGCCACCUGCCCAAUUGACUGCCUGAGGGAGGGAGGGAGAGAGACUGACCAUUGUGACCUCAUCCUGAAGCUGCCUCCUUGAAGGAGAGACUGGCCAUUGUGACCUCAUCCUGAAGCUGCCUGCUUGAAGGAGAGACUGGCCAUUGUGACCUCAUCCUGAAGCUGCCUGCUUGAAGGAGAGACUGGCCAUUGUGACCUACUUGUGAAGGUAAAAGGUAAGGUAAAGGACCCUUGGACGGUUAGGUCCAGUCAAAGGUUGUCAAAUGUCCAGUCCAGUCCAGUCCAGUCAAAGGUCCAGUCAAUAGAGUUGUGGCGCUCAUCUCGCUUUCAGGCUGAGGGAGCCGGCGUUUGUCCACAGACAGCUUUCUGGGUCAUGUGGCCAGCAGGACUAAACCGCUUCUGGCAAAAUGGAAGCCAGAGCGCAAGGAAACACCGUUUACUUUCCCAUCGCAAUGAUACCUAUUUAUCUACUUGCACUGGCAUGCUUUCGAGCUUCUAGGUUGGCAGGAGCAGGGACCGAGCAACGGGAGCUCACUCCAUCGUGGGAAUUCGAACCGCCAACCUUCUAAUUGGCAAGCCCAAGAGGCUCAAUGGUUUAGACCACAGCACCACCCGCUUCAUUGCGAGCUACUUUUGAGGUUGCUGACCAGAAGGUCAGACCAUUUUGAUGCUUUCCUAAGAGAGAGAGACUGGUAAUUGUGACAGGCUGGUGCUGAAGGAAACAGACAGGCCAUUGUGACCUUAUUCUGGUGCCUUCUGCCUAAAGAAGGGAGACCAGCCAUGGUGACCUCAUGCUGAUACUGCCUGCCUGAAGGAGAAUGGCCUUUGUGUCCUCAUGUUCAUGUUUCAUGCAUGAAGAAGAGAGACUGGCCUUUAUAACCUAAUGCUGUUGAUGCUGGCAGUCUGAAGGGAAGAGAGGCUGGCCAUUGUGACCUCAUGCUGAUGCUGCUUGCCUGAAGCAGUGAACAUUGUAAUAUAAUACAAUACUAUUGAUAUGAGUAUUAAUGAAUUUUUACCUUUCUCCCGCUAUUCUUCCUCACACCUGUAUUUAAAUGUCUGCUUCCUUUUCUUUGUUGACAGGCAGUACAUAAGGGCGGUGUUCAACUAAGCCUCAUUCCAAAUAGACCUACUGAAACUAAGGAACCUAAAUAAGUUACCUUCAUAAAUAUUAGUAGGUCAAUUUUGUGUAAAAUGUAGUUGAAUACCACUCAUGCCGUCUGAAGACAAAUCUUGUCAAAGCUUUCAUCCCUGUUGCAGAACUUAAUGAAAGAGUGCCUUUCAUAACUAUUGCUACAGUGUCCAUUUUGUCUUUUUAUAUUGUUAUCUUUGGCUGAAGGGUGAUAUACAAAUUUUAAUAAUAAUGGUAAUGAUAAUGAUAAUGAUAAUGACAAAGGUGAGUAAGCAAUCUUUUAUGUUUUAUGGUAGCUGAAGUAAUGACUUCAAAUGAAAAGUAUAAAACCGAGGUUUAGAUUUGCUGAGCCAUUUCAGUUUUUCACUGAACUUUUGCCAAUUUAAAGCUAUGGAUUAGCAGAAGGAAAUAAGCUUUGUUUGAAAAAAGGAUGAGUAGAAAGAGUUCCUAAUAAACUGCAAAAGGACAGGCAUUUUUAAUACAACCAUCUCACGCUGUUGUGAUCUUGUCUUCCCUCUGUAUAGGAGAGGGCUGGCCCAAUGAUGAGGUAUGGAGAAGCAGCUGCCUCAGGCCCCCAUGGGCUCCCACCUACUCCACUGCCACUGAAGAAGUGGUGCUAGAAUCAGCACUGAUAUCUGCUAAGAGCUCAUGAGAUCUCACAGAGACAUCUUGUGAGAUUUUGAUGAGAUCUUGGGAGGUCGCGCUGGAAAUCAGUGCCAAGGCUCUGCAGCGAGCUGUGUGGCAGUGGUGCCGGCAGAGGCAGGUGAUGCAGCUUCAUGUUGGGAAACUGUAUGUGCAGCUACUCACACAGAGUCAAUUAAGGUUUGGCAGACAGCCAGAAGGCAAUCUGAAGGAGUAAGUCUGCCUGGUGAUAACAGAGGCUCCCUGAUUGGUCAAGCUCUCUCAAGGGAGUGAUAAUUAAUGGC
rnacentral:lncRNA from 1 species